rnacentral:rRNA from 1 species
CCUACGGGAGGCAGCAGUAGGGAAUCUUCCACAAUGGGCGAAAGCCUGAUGGAGCAACGCCGCGUGGGUGAAGAAGGUCUUCGGAUCGUAAAACCCUGUUGUUAGAGAAGAAAGUGCGUGAGAGUAACUGUUCACGUUUCGACGGUAUCUAACCAGAAAGCUACGGCUAACUACGUGCCAGCAGCCGCGGUAAUGCGUAGGUGGCAAGCGUUAUCCGGAGUUAUUGGGCGGAAAGGGAACGCAGGCGGUCUGUUAGGUCUGAUGUGAAAGCCUUCGGCUUAACCGGAGUAGUGCAUUGGAAACUGGGAGACGUGAGUGCAGAAGAGGAGAGUGGAACUCCAUGGGUAGCGGUGAAAUGCGUAGAUAGAUGGAAGAACACCAGUGGCGAAAGCGGCUCUCUGGUCUGUAACUGACGCUGAGGUUCGAAAGCGUGGGUAGCAAACAGGAUUAGAUACCCCGGUAGUC